UCCAGUCUACAGUGUGGACUCUUCAGAAAAUCACACAGCAGCUUCACUCCUGAAUCCUGCAGGUUCUGGUUGUCACUCAGAUCCAGCUCUCUCAGAUGGGAGGGGUUGGACUUCAAUGCUGAGGCCAGAGAAGCACAGCUGAUCUCUGACAAACUGCAGUACCUUAAUCUGAA